rnacentral:rRNA from 1 species
UACGUAGGGGGCAAGCGUUGUUCGGAUUUACUGGGCGUAAAGGGCGCGUAGGCGGCAAUUCAAGUCACUUGUGAAAUCUCCGGGCUUAACUCGGAACGGUCAAGUGAUACUGCUUUGCUAGAGUGCGGAAGGGGCAAUCGGAAUUCUCGGUGUAGCGGUGAAAUGCGUAGAUAUCGUAAGGAAGACCAGUGGCGAAGGCGGGUCUCUGGACAGUUCCUGACGCUGAGGCACGAAGGUCAGGGGAGCAAACGGG